rnacentral:lncRNA from 1 species
UACCCGAUAUCCCGUUUUCUUCCCCCUUUUGCCAUUAGCAAAAAAAUAGUAAGGAAAGAUGCAAAAAGAUGAAAUAAACAAGGUUUAUUUAUUGGAAUAAAAAAGAGGGUACAUCAAUGGGAACCAAAGACAACAACAGCAAAAACCACACAAAACACAAAAAAAAUUUGUUCAUUUCCGUCGUUGUCCGCCUCGUUAUCCGGCGCUGCUUCAAAAGGAACGAGAGCUGCAUA